AUGACCACUGGAAAAACCAUAGCCUUGACUAGAAGGACCUUUGUUGGCAAAGUAAUGUCUCUGCUUUUCAAUAUGCUAUCUAGGUUGGUCAUAACUUUCCUUCCAAGGAGUAAGUGUCUUUUAAUUUCAUGGCUGCAGUCACCAUCUGCAGUGAUUUUGGAGCCCAAAAAAUUAAGUCUGACACUGUUUCCACUGUUUCCCCAUCCAUUUCCCAUGAAGUCAUGGGACCAGAUGCCAUGAUCUUCGUUUUCUGAAUAUUGAGCUUUAAGCCAACCUUUUCACUCUCCUCUUUCACUUUCAUCAAGAGGCUCUUUCGUUCUUCUUCACUUUCUGCCAUAAGGGUGGUAUCAUCUGCAUAUCUGAGGUUAUUGAUAUUUGUCCCGGCCAUCUUGAUUCCAGUUUGUGCUUCUUCCAGCCCAGGGUUUCUCAUGGUGUACCCUGCAUACAAGUUAAAUAAGCAAGGUGACAAUAUACAGCCUUGAUGUACUCCUUUUCCUAUUUGGAACCAGUCUGUUGUUCCAUGUCCAGUUCUAACUGUUGCUUCCUGACUUGCAUAUAGGUUUCUCAAGAGGCAGUGUCUUAAAGGUAUCAAAUUUCUCAAACUGAAAUACAUAGUUAGGAUAAUCUAA
rnacentral:lncRNA from 1 species